CAAGUCGAACGAACCUUUCGGGGUUAGUGGCGGACGGGUGAGUAACGCGUGAGAAUCUGCCCUCAGGAGGGGGAUAACGACUGGAAACGGUCGCUAAUACCCCAUAUGCCGAGAGGUGAAAUGAAUUUCGCCUGAGGAUGAGCUCGCGUCUGAUUAGCUAGUUGGUGGGGUAAAGGCCUACCAAGGCGACGAUCAGUAGCUGGUCUGAGAGGAUGAUCAGCCACACUGGGACUGAGACACGGCCCAGACUCCUACGGGAGGCAGCAGUGGGGAAUUUUCCGCAAUGGGCGAAAGCCUGACGGAGCAACGCCGCGUGAGGGAUGAAGGCCUCUGGGCUGUAAACCUCUUUUCUCAAGGAAGAAGAUCUGACGGUACUUGAGGAAUAAGCCACGGCUAAUUCCGUGCCAGCAGCCGCGGUAAUACGGGAGUGGCAAGCGUUAUCCGGAAUUAUUGGGCGUAAAGCGUCCGCAGGCGGCCUUGUAAGUCUGUCGUUAAAGCGUGGAGCUUAACUCCAUUUCAGCGGUGGAAACUACAAGGCUUGAGUGUGGUAGGGGCAGAGGGAAUUCCCGGUGUAGCGGUGAAAUGCGUAGAUAUCGGGAAGAACACCAGUGGCGAAGGCGCUCUGCUGGGCCAUAACUGACGCUCAUGGACGAAAGCCAGGGGAGCGAAAGGGAUUAGAUACCCCUGUAGUCCUGGCCGUAAACGAUGAACACUAGGCGUCGGGGGAAUCAACCCCCUCGGUGUCGUAGCCAACGCGUUAAGUGUUCCGCCUGGGGGAGUACGCACGCAAGUGUGAAACUCAAAGGAAUUGACGG
rnacentral:rRNA from 1 species